CAAUAGCGUAUAUUAAAGUUGUUGCAGUUAGAACGCUCGUAGUCGGAUUUCGGGGCGGGCCGACCGGUCUGCCGAUGGGUAUGCACUGGUCGGCGCGUCCUUCCUUCCGGAGACCGUCCCUACUCUUAACUGAGCGGGGGCGGGAGACGGAUCGUUUACUUUGAAAAAAUCAGAGUGUUUCAAGCAGGCAGCUCGCUCUUGCAUCGAUUAGCAUGGGAUAAUGAAAUAGGACUUUGGUGCUAUUUUGUUGGUUUCGAACACCGAAGUAAUGAUUAAAAGGGACAGUCAGGGGCACUCGUAUUCCGCCGAGAGAGGUGAAAUUCUCAGACCAGCGGAAGACGAACUACUGCGAAAGCAUUUGCCAGGGAUGUUUUCACUGA
rnacentral:rRNA from 1 species